UGAGUAACACGUAGGCAACCUACCCAUCAGACCGGGAUAACCGCGGGAAACCGUGGCUAAUACCGGAUGACCCUUCCGGACAUAAGUCCUGAAGUUGAAAGGCGCUUUUGGUGCCGUUGAUGGAUGGGCCUGCGGCGCAUUAGCUGGUUGGUGGGGUAACGGCUCACCAAGGCGACGAUGCGUAGCCGACCUGAGAGGGUGAUCGGCCACACUGGGACUGAGACACGGCCCAGACUCCUACGGGAGGCAGCAGUAGGGAAUCUUCCGCAAUGGACGCAAGUCUGACGGAGCAACGCCGCGUGAGUGAAGAAGGGUUUCGGCUCGUAAAACUCUGUUGUUAAGGAAGAAUGUCAGUGAGAGUAACUGCUCAUUGAGUGACGGUACUUAACCAGAAAGCCACGGCUAACUACGUGCCAGCAGCCGCGGUAAUACGUAGGUGGCAAGCGUUAUCCGGAAUUAUUGGGCGUAAAGCGCGCGUAGGCGGUUUCUUAAGUCUGAUGUGAA
rnacentral:rRNA from 1 species